GUGGCUGGUGGGGCCGGGGACGCUGCUCUGCCCCCAGAGUGACCCGCCCCGACGUCAACGGCACCGGGAGGAGACCCUGUUGAAUUUAAACUGCCAAAACACGGUGGAAUAUAUCGCGCCAUCAGAACAGAACCUAGUGAGUGGGUUCCACCCCAGACACACGUUGGUUGUCAUAGUAAUUUCCCAGUGCAAACAGGUCUCCCGGGAGGCAGCAUGGGAGCAGGAGCAUCAGGACUUGGGACAGGGGUCUCUGGGCUCAGAGAGCCCCCGCGUGGAAUCCCAAUCAAUUUUCACGCAGCCGGGCUCCCAUGGUUGCUGUAAACGUCAUACACUUGUGGGAAAUAUGCCUGCACUCAGUCAGGAGGGCCCUCGCCCUACGGGACCCGUUCCCACAUUUCCCCCACGGCUCACAUGAGGCCCCUUGACGAAGGUUGAUCUUUGGGACACGCCUCUGACCCCGGGAGGAGACAGCCAUCCACGAACCAGGAAUGGGAUCCCCCCACCGGACACCGAAUCUACCGACGCCUGGACCUUGGACUCCCAGCCUCCGAAACCGAGAAAUAAAUUUCUGUUGUUUACAAAC